AAUAAUAUUCCACAAAGGCGAUGUAGUGCUUGCAGAGGUCAAAAGAGGGAAUCAAAUCCCCCUGGAGCUGUAGUUACAGAUGACUGUGAGCUGCCCUAUGGGUGCUGGGAAUUGAACCCCAUUCUCUGCAAGAGGAGUCAGUGCCCUUAAGCCCUUUGUAAUCUCUCUAGCCCCUAUGGCUUUUUCAAACACUCUUAAUGGUAUAUCCUUCCCCAUUCCUUACCUUGUGUUGGCCUCUCUCCCUGCUUCCCAGUUAACUGCCCCAUUUUUCUCAUACCCCCCUUCAUAGCGCCCAUGUUCUACUACCCCCUCAGUCUUCCCCUACCCCUAUCUAUGGUUCCUUUUUACUCUCCUGGUUUCUAUGCUGACUCUAGGUUAUAUAUUCACAUCUAAAUCAAGAAUCCACAAAUAAGAGAGAAUCUGCGGUGCUUGUCUUUGGGAUCACCACAGUGUAAUAAUUAGGAACUUAUCAGAGAACCCAACCUUAAGACCUCAGACUACUAUCUUCUCAAUAAGCAAAACUGCCAGAUUUUCCAGGUUUCUAUUAGACAUGUGAGUAUAAGGCCUGCCUGAUAUUAUCUUUCAUCUGGAGUAGAACUUCCCUCUAUGAGACACCAGACAACUCCCUGGCCAGGAACAUGCCUCUUUGCAUUUUUCUAUAUAGAAACAUACCCGCCUCAAGCAAGCAGCUUCCUUGUUAACACCACCCUGAGCGGAUUACUUGGGGUCUAGGUCUGACAGCCUAACCACUAGGGGAACUACCAGGAAUUCAACAAUAGCUACCAAAAGAGACAACCAGGGCUCUUAGGGAAAUAGCCCAGGGUCUCACCUACAUCCAAGAUCAAUUAGAUUCCCUUGAAGAGGUUGUCCUUCAAAGAAGAAGGGGCCUGGGAUGGAACAAUAGCUCAGCCAGCUUAAGAGCAAAUAUUGCUCUUUUAGUGGGCCAGAGUCCAAGUCCUAGAAGCCAGGCCAGGCAGCUCACAACCACCUGUAAGGACAGCCUUAGAGGUAUCAGAUGUGUCUGGCUUCAGAAGGCACCUGCACUCAUGUGCACAUACCCCCACACACACAAACACACAUGUACACACAAUUACAAUAAAUAAACCCAAAAAUAAUAAAAGUCUAGAAAUAACAGUAUGGAUGGGCCUUAGACUGACUUCUGGCAUGAAAGUGGGUAAGCACUUUCCAGGAAAGUGCUGCUUCUAAGUUAACAAGUCAGGGACAGUCCCACAAAAUGUCAAAAAUACCCUUGAAGGCAGUACUGGCAAACACUUGAGUAAUACCUUCUCAAGCACAGGUUGGAAAUCUUGGGUCUCAUUGGUUGGCCUCCUUCCUCUGGUUGUGUCUGUUCUACCUUUAAUUCUACUGACUCUUGCCCUCUCCCAGGUCUUCUCAAUAAACAGAUAGUUCAUUUCUUCCAGGAUUCAACAAAUCUAGCUCCAAAUGGUAUUAUAAGGAGACCUCAGGCCAUCUUCAGAAAGAGACUCAGAUGUUGAUGAAUGACCUUACUGGAACAAUGGGAACAGUGGCCUGAUGAGUUCAGCAAGGAGAAUACUCCUAGUCCCCACUUGACCAUCUGGAAAAGGAAUCGAUUGGACAAUUUUCAGCCCUCCCCAAGGUAGUCUCCUUAGAAACAACAGUUGGAGAGACCAUCUUCUAAAUUUUACAAUGCCCCUAUUUCAACAGAAAGCAAAAAUUUAUUUUUGCAUACUUAUAAAGAUUUAAGGAGAAAGUUCUCUCAGAGGGAAAGUUGAGGCAGAUUAGUGUAGCAACAACUCCAGUGACCUAGUCAACUCUCCUCGAAAGAAUGUCUGUGUGUCCUUCCCCAGCACGGCAACACCUUGUUCCACCCCAUCAGCAAUUAGUUUUUGGUCAGAUACCUGCUUAGAGACAAAGAAGGCCAGCUAACCCACUCUAUAACCCACUCAUUAGCAGGAGUGCAAUGAGGACAAGUCUGCCCUGAGAUGAUUUGUCAAAGGAAAACUAUUACCAUCUCACGAAUAUGCAUUAUAGGGAUAUUUGCCUACAAUUAAGAAAUAUAUGGCCUGCGCACACAUAGAGCAUCCAAAGUGUAUAUGUUUAAAGUGGGGUUUAUGGCUCAAGUGUGCAGAACAUCCCAAGUUAUAUGAUAAUCCAUCUGUCAGCCAAGUCAAGGGUCCAUCUAGUUCCCACACCUGGGGAGCAGCUCCUCUCCCACCCCUUAACUCAAAAGAACCUUGAAAAACAAGUAGGGAGCCUGCAGCCAUCGUGAUAGAGCCUGAUACUGGCUUGCAUGGUAUCUACUUUGUCUUCUAACAAAACUACCUGCUCUCAGUUCUGUGUACGUUCAAGAACCCGGAACUCAGAGCUAUCACAAGACUCCACAUUAACACCACCAAUUGUCCUUCCUGAGACUGGUCACCUGGAGUGAGACUCCAAGGACUGUUGAGAGCUGGGCUCUAACCAUACGUUUGUUCAAAGCAUUGCCAGUCAGUGGGUCAAACUCCGAACAGUUAGGGUCUGACAAUCAUAGAGUGGAGGUAGGGUUCCUCCUUAUUUGGGGCUUUUUGUCUACACUGGGUAUACAUCCUCCUGGGGGCCCUGAAACCAGCCCUGCCUUCCCAGAAUGGCAGCCCAUGAGCCAUUAUGCACUCUGGGAGUCUCUACUGGGAGGAUUCAUCUGAGUCCCUUACAAUGCCACCCUCCCUGGCACACACCCUGUGCCCCUGCCUCUGUACAAUGCCUGGGGGCAGCUGUGUGUCCUGAGACAGUCCUUCCAGAACUUGGGACAUCAGCUGUACUCCACAGUGAGCGAGGAAAAGCCACCAUGAAGCUGGUGAGCAUCUGGAAGCUGAGCCAUUUUGUGUCGUGUAUGUUUAAAUAGCAUUUGCUCCCUAAUUUUGUGUUGCUCAGGGUUAUGUUAAAAUUAGUAUGCCCAGGAAACAGCAAUGAGGAAGAUGGCCUAGAAACCUUUUUUAGACAGCGGGGGGAAUGCUGGCCUGCUUUUCUCGGUGUGUACAGGGACGGGCCACAGAGUGAACCAGAACUGACAAAGAUGUGUGUCUCCUUACUGCUGUCUUUUCUGUGCCUGGCAAGGAGCAGAUCAUUGGGGGUGAUCUCCCUGUAACACCCCUGUACUGUCAGUCUCCUCCUCUAAGGACUACCUUCCUCUGUCCCUCAACAUCCCAAAUGGUCCCCAAGCUUUGAGUUCCUCAUGCCUUCUAGGCCAUAAUAGAUACACAAGUCGUUGUAUGAAAGCCCUGGUUUUUCCUUUCAUCUUUCUCCUAGCUACCACCUACAGGGACUCAUCCAAUGUCCUUGGAAGUCUAUCCAGUCAGGGGAUGACAGUCAACACACAUUUCUAACCUGAUUAUGACAUGAGUGUGAUCCCAAGUUGCCACUUAACAAUUCUUUCCCAUUCCUUGGGGAGGGGGUGCGUGCUAAGGCCUCCAGGUGGGAGUCAGAAGGCAGGAUGUGGUUCUUUCCUUCCAUCACAUGGAUCCAGGGGAUCCAACUCAGGUCAUCAGGCUUGGCGAUGAGCACCCUUACCUGCUGAACCAACUCAAUAGCCCACGCUUCACUUUUUGAUUUCAAGGUCUUGUUGCUAAAGCUGGUUCCUGGUUCCUGAUGGCACAGAGCACAGUCAUUCUCCAACUAAGGGGUUCACACCCCAACACCCAGAAUGACUGGCUAAGAACUCAGAUGAUGCUAAAUCCUAUAUAUGCUGUGGUUUGUUUUGUUUUUUCAUGUACACUGUGAUGGUCAAUCUUGACUGUCAACUUGCUGAGAUGUAGAAAUCACCUAGGAGACAAAGCUCUGUCUGUGAGCUUGUUUCUACCAAAGCUGAACUGAGGCAGGAAGACUCACCCUGAAUGGGCAGCACCAUCUCACAGGCUGAGAUCUCAGACUGAGGGGAAAGGAGAGAGCAAGCGGAGCAUGAGCAUUCAUCACCGUCUGCUUCCUGACUGUAGGUACAAUGUGACCAGCUGCUUCACUUUCCUGCUGCCCCAGCUCUCGCUGCCAAGAAGAACUGUGCCCUCACAGUAAACUUUCGGGCAUUUUUGUCACAGUAAUGAGAAAAUUAACUAAUACACACAUAUACAAAUGAUAAUUGAAUAUUUUGUUUUUUAAGUAUUUAUUUUUUUAUUACGUGUAUGUGUCUGUGUGUUGAUGUGUGGACAUGACUGUGGAUGUUCAUGGAGGCCAGAAGAGGGCCACUUGGUAUGGGGGCUAGGAGCCAAAUCUGGGUGCUCUGCCAGAUUAAUGAGGGUCCUUAACCACUGGGCCAUCUCUCCAGCUCCAUGAAGCUUCAUUUAGGUAUUGGACACGGCAAGAGAGUGACAAUUGUAACUGGUGGUAAACUGGGACAAUUCCGACAAUAGCGUGAGUGUUGUAUGAGUGUAGUCUCUUCUCAGCAAGUGUCUUAUUGUGCUAUACUCACCUUCUCCAUCUUGUGAUGAUGCUGGAUAGAUAGUUCAGUGUGGACAAAGUGCUGAGCCGAGGGUGGCGGUGCCAGGACUCCUUAGGCCAAUGAGUAAGAGUCCCUUGAACACAGGGUUUUAAUAGCAUAACUGUCCGUGUGAUAGAACAGGCAGAGGUAGCUAUAGAUGAAUACUGGGCAGUGUAUUCAGUAUGAAUGAGCUGAACAGUGGCAAGGCUCACUUCCCAGGAAAAGCGUAACAGGGCGGUGUGUAAAUUAAAAUGCACGUACUGUUUCCUUCUGGAAUUUUCCAUAUUAAUGUUUUCAGACUGUGACUAACCUAGGGUGAGCAAAGUCCUCAGAAAGCAAUAUUGUGGAUGAGGAAAGGGCACUGUACCCCAUUCUAAGCCAGCCCAUGGCACCAGCUCCGCUACUUACUAGGCUGUGUGAUCCAAACUGAUCGCCCUGUGUCUCAGGUCCCCAAUACAGAUCACGAGACAGCCAGCACGCUUACACUGCACGAUUAAAUGUGCUUUUAUGACGGGAAGAGCUUUGAGAAAUGCUUGGGUCACGAGAAGUGCUAAAACAAACGAACCCCCCAGCUAACAGUAUUACUGCUUUUGCAUUCCCUGCUGCUGAUAGGUGUGUUGGUUGGGCAGCUCUCUGUAACCUCACACAGCGUGUUGUGGACAUCCUCGCUAAGUGUCCUCCUGUGAUUGUCCUUGAAUUCCUCUGGCUCACUCACUCCACAGGGGUGUUGAAUAACUUCCGAAUGAUGAAGCAGCCGCUCUCAAGCUUCGGGGCAGCUCCAGCCACCUAGGCCACUUCCCUGGAAAGAACAUGUCUGUCCUUCCUGGGCGGCUGUGGCGGGAGUUCCACCCGCUGACUUGAGAGCCCUGGCUCUCCUUGUCAUCAUCACACUUGGUAGCAGCUUGCCUUCUAAGGCUGGUGAUCAGGUGGCUGAGACAUGGCGUCUUGUUUAGUCUCCCUUCUCUGGACACUGGUGAGGUUGAGCAUCUCUCUGGGUGUCUCUUGGGUUCCCGUGAGUUCAGGUCGCUCGCUUGACUUCUGACCAGUUGUUUCCUGCCUCUUCCUUCCUGAUUUGUGCUAGUUGCUGCUGUGUUCUAGAAACCUCCAGGUCAGUUUUCUUGUUGGAUUUUCAUUGCAGUACUGGGGAGAAGAGGGCGCAUGCUAGGGAGUUGCUCUGUCACUGAAAUAUAGCUCUGUCCUUUUGUAUUUUGAGACAGAGGCUCUCUGAGUUGUCCAGGCUGGCCUUGAACUCACUCUGUAGCCCAGGUAGGCUUUAAACUUUGGAUCAUCUUGAAUCAGCUUCCACGUAGCUGGGAUUACAAGCCUGUGCUACAACAUCCAGCUUUCAGUUUUAAAAGUUGAAACACCUUCACAUCUACCAUCAAUCUGUUGCCUUGGUCCUUUAUUAAACAUCAUUUUAUUGUGUUUUAUUUAUGCCACACACACAGAGGAGAGAGAGAGAGAGAGAGAGAGAGAGAGAGAGAGAGAGAGAGAGAGAGAGAGAGAGAACCAACCACCAUCACCACUAAUAACAACAGCAAAAUGUCCCUCUCAAUAUCACUUUCACAUUCACAUUUACCUCUGGAGGUCAGAAUGUCACCUGUGCACAAGUUAUCCUAACUCUUCACGCCACCCUCUGCUGUCACCAGACUCUGUGGUACAUCAGUGGGUGACAGGAGAAUCUCAUUUCUACUUCAAGAUUGUCCUAGGAAUCAAUGGACCUCUCUUAUGUCAUACAGUUUACAACACUUGUUAAGGUGCUCAGUGGUUAAGAGCACGUGUUGCUCUUGCAGAAGACCUGGGUUCAGUUCCCAGAACCUACAUGGCAGCUCAGAACCAUCUGUAACUCCAGUUCCGAAAGAUGCAACACCCUCUUCUGUCCCCAUGGGCACUGCACACACAUGGGGCACAUACACACAUGCAGGCAAACACACAUACACACAAAACUAGCCACCUCCCUGUUUGCUAAGCCAGUGCUCCCACACUCUGCCAUUCAUUAUUCUUAAAGUGGCCCUCAUGCAUGGAUUCAUUUGGGAAGAACUUACAUUUCCUGUAUUGCAAUGAACAUCGUCCUAAGUCUCAUCACCUUUAAUAAAAGUUAGAAUUUUGUCAUUAAAUGUUUUUCACAUUCUUUGUUAGACCUUUCCCAAGGAAACAAACUCAUAUUUUUUAGCCCUGAAAGGAGCGCCUGUUUCUCCUAUUCUGCCUUCUAGUUAGCUGUAAAGCACACUGGAUUUUUCACAAGUGAUCCUUGUGGCUAAUGACUUUGCUGGUGUUUUAUUUUCUUGAUUCUGUUGCGUUCCCAUGUCUGAAGGAGACUUUGGACUAUAUUAAGUAACUGUGUUUUCUCAACACCGUGUCUUGUUCCAGAUCAUAAAAUAAGGUUAUGAAUGGCCUCCCUAUUAAUAUAUAUAUAUUCAUAGCAAAUUUGUGAUAUAUAGACUUUAUCAAAGUUAAGGAGUCCCCAGCUGUAUGGCCGUUUCUUUAAUAGAUUUCGUGAUUUUGAGUGGCACUUGAUUGUUCAUGAAUUUACUUCUAGAGUUAAUCUACCUGUAUAUUAUAUGCUUUAAAAUAUGCUCUUGGAUUCAGGGAGUUAAUAUUUAAUAAUUAGGAAAUCCAAAUCAGGUAGACAAUAAUUUUAUUUUACCACCUUAUCAGAUCUUGAAGCCAAAUAUCAACCAACACCAUAAAACACAGCAGGCAGAGUCCUCUUCCUGUUUUCUGAAAUAUUUUGGCUCCUUGCAACUAGCCUGUGCAAAUGCAGAUAUGGACCUUUUAUCCAGGGCAUAUGGCAUGGCCUUAGUUUUUAGUUCUUUUCAUUGCUCUGUGCUGUAGACUACAUUAUGUAUAUUGUACAUAUUCUCCAAAUCACACAGGGGUUUAAAAGGUCUUGCCUUCUUCCUUACUAUAUUAAUCUCUUACUCUUUCUAAUCUGUUAUGUGAGUCAGCCCCUGCUCCUUCCCAAUCCUCCAUUCUCUUUCUAUGUUACUUAUUCCUGGUCACUUUUGCAAAUGCCUUGUUUUAGUUUGGCUAAAUGUCUCAAUGUCACUACUCUCUGCUUCAUUAAUUUAUGUCCUCAUUUUCAUGGCUUGAUUUCUUAUUACUUGCAUCCUGUAAUUGUGUGGUCCUGUUUCUAGCAACCUCAGUUGAGUGACUUGUCUUUUUGUCUGGUGAUGGGCACACAUCCAUCUAAGCACUGAUCUCUCUUCUCCCAGACGUCAGGUCAGGUCUCUUUCUUUACUCUUCUUCACUGUCUUGAAUUCCUCCAUAUAAACACCUCUUUAGCUACGAAUUAUUUUCAGAGUGGUGAGAAUCCUCAUAAACGGAACCUCUAUUAGUAAUUACUGAUUUAUGCCAUUUCGAUCCGAGGCUCUCCUUACCCUCAUUACUGUGGUAGCUUAGUAGAUCUUUGCUGCUGUUCAUCUUUGUUUGGCUGCUUAGGGUUUUGUUUGGAGGUUUUGUUGUCGUCUGUUGUUUUGUUUUUUAAGGCAAGGUCUCAUUAUGGAGCUCACCCUGACCUUAAACUCUCAAACCUCCUGCCUCAGUCUCCCAAGUGCUGGGAUUACAAACGUGCACGACCAGAGCCUGAGAAGUUUUGUUAUGUUGGGUUUUGUUGUUGUAUUGCCCUCAGAGGUACAGAAAAAGGUGUAGGAUCCCCUAGAACUGGAGUUAGGAAUAGUUGUGAGGCACAGUGUAGGUGCUGGGAACAGAAGCGGGGUCUCUGCAAGAGCAGCCAGUGCUCUUAACCACCGAGUCAUCCUUCCAGACCAUUCUUUGGUUUCCUGUCUGUUGGUUAGUUCAUUUCAGAGAGGUUUUUGUUGUUGGUUUGGUUUGGUUUUGGGGGGUGAAUGGGUUGUUUGCCUUUUCUUUCUCUAGGUUCAUAUUCCUAAAUUUUACCAUAGUGCUAUCUAGAAAGUUUUUUUUUUAAUUUUACCUAUGACCUCUUCCAAUGUGAAGUCUUGUUCUUUAUUUCUUUUUUGUUUUGUUUGUUUGUUUUUUGUUUGUUUGUUUGUUUUUUGAGACAGGGUUUCUCUGUGUAGCUUUGGAGCCUGCCUGGAACUUGCUCUGUAGACCAAGCUGGCCUCGAACUCAGAGAUCUGCAUGUCUCUGCCUUCCAAGUGAUGGGAUUAAAGGCGUGCACCACCACUGCCCAGCUCUUUGCUUUUUUUAAUAUUUAGUCGUUAUACACAUUCAUAUCUCCUCUGCUGAGACAUCUUUCAUGGACCUUGGCAUUUCUUUCCCACCUAGUCUCCAUCCUGGGUUCUCCCCUCAUCUCUCUCCACUAAUCCCCUCAGAGACCAAACCCCACCUUCAGGCUCGUCGAAACGUUCUUGGGGCCUUUGGCUCCUCUGUCCCACGCUGGUGCCGAGUCAUCUACCCAAGCUGGUGGGUCUUUAGAACUGCUUGCUCUUUCUGUUUCCUUCUUUGAAGACACAGUGUCCGUUCCAAAUUCAUAUUUGCUCCGCUCAUUACUGCUGCCCCUCCCAGCGCUCUCCAACAGCUGGCUCCUCCCCUGUGGACCACGUGGCCAGGGACAACCACAGUGAAGGCAAAGAGGUCCUUGUCUCAGGACAGAGCCUCCAGCAGGGCCACCUGGCCUCAGAGGUGGCCCUGCGCUCCCAGGAGCCCCACUCUCAAGGAAUCUCCCAGCUAGGUGCUUCUCCUUCUCAAACCGCUUUUACCUGGGCUUGGGGAAGAAUCAAAAUGGGAGAAAGUAAUGGUUAGUGUUCCGUUGUUAACCUGACAGAAUCUGAAAUGGCCUGAGAGAUAGCCUCCAUGUGCACCUAUAAGGCAUUAAUUAUUCAGCUUGCCUCUGAGCGUGCCUGUGCAGGGGUUGUCUAGAUUAGGUUAACUGAGGGAGAGAAAAGAGAAGGCUAGCUGAGCCUGAGCGCUCACCACUCUCCUUCCUGACUCCAGGGGCAAUGCCCAGCUGCUUCAGGCUGCUGCUGCCUUGACUUGCCCGCCAUGAUGGACAGCACCCUGCGACUGUGAGCCAAGAUCAACUCGUCUUCUCUGAACUGCCUCUGUCAGGGUAUUUUCUCAUGGAAACCCAAACUGAUACAGGGACUCCGCCCUGUUCCUCUUGCCUUUGCUCCAGUCCAGCUCACUUCACCCUGUCUUGAUGCUGACCUAAAUCCAGAGGCUGGAGUGUAUCUAUAUCUGCAGAGCUACAUUUCCAUCCAGGGCGACAAAAAGAGGGUACCGCCUCAUGCGGAAAGUCCCUCCUUCCCUCAGCCUGGGUUCCUCUCUGCACAUGCUCUACAUCAUUUCUACCUGAAGUUGCUUCUUUUGCUUGCAUCUUCAGUUGCAGUGGGGACAAAGGCCAGCAUCUCGACUUGUUGGCCAAUUUUUUUCUGGAAGUGAGGUGGUUCCUUCUACCUGUCAAUCAAGGUCCCUUCUGGAGCCAGAGACCAAUCCGGAUGAUGUUGCCAAGUCCUAAAGAUGAGACCCCGGGGAGGAAGGCUGGGUAGAGCCUGUGGCCUGUGGCCUCUCACCACAAGAGCCUUGCUCAGCUUUCCUGCCCCUCUUUCUAGCCAUGUUGUAACCUGACACUUGAGUCCAUAGUCCACUGCCUCAGUUUCCCUGCACUCCAAAAGAAAUCAGAAACAGAAAGUGGCAAAGGAAAGUGAAUUUUCUAGAGUUUGGACAAACAGGGGGAGAGAAAGAACCCACUCUCCCACUGCUGUGUCUCUGGCAGUGAAUUUUAGGAGGAGACAAAGGCCAGGUGACACACAGAUUUGGCUGUGAGGAACAGCUGACCGUCUUUUCCUGGGAGAGAGUGACGAAGCCCCAGGCUGCCUCCAUUCUCAGAUGGAAGGGUCUGUUCCAAAGUUCCAAGUUACACUAUUACCACAGGCAUCUCUCAAGCAGUAUUUGUCCAGCACUGGCUGCCCAAAGCCACCAGCUUUCCCUGGCAGGAGUCUCCACUCUCCAUUGCCUUCCAUGUAACCCUCUCUGUCCUCUGUCUCUCCCCACAGAAUUCUCUAAAGUUAUCUGGGAGGCCUUUCUUUCCUCAUAGACAAAACUGUGAGGUCCACAAGGUCACACAGUACACAAUGGUGGGUUAUGCAGUGAGUGUCUGCAGAGACUUUUCUCUGGUGGCUUAAUGUCUUCUCCGGGCCUCUCCUGCCUCCUAACCCUUAAGGAGGAGUGUUCCCCAAGUCCUCAGCUCCACCCUGCCCUCUGUGGCCUUUUGAUCCUGACUUCCUCAGCACUUUUCCAUAGUGACUUUGUAACCCUGGACUUCUGCCUCUGCACGUCUUCCUCAGAGUGCUUUCCUUUGAAUCUCGCAUCUACCUGGCCCUCUCUAAGGUGGCCAUUCCCUUCAAGUCCACUGUCACUGUGGUUGACAAAAGACCAUGAGCAGUCACUGUAAUUUCCCCAACUGGCCCUGCAGCCUCUGCUCUUCCCUUCCCCCACCCAGUCUCUGAAAUGCAGACGAGCAGAUAUUUCACAAACAACAGUCUAUAGCACCCUUCUGUGCAAGGCUGCCCAUUCGUUGGCUUCAAAAUCAAUUCACAACAAGGCAGUUAGGAUGGCAGCCUAAGCUCUGAUACCCCAUCCCCGCACUGUCUCUGCCUCUGGUGAGGGGUUGUUGCUCAUCUCCCAAGAGGCUGUGACCCUGCUUCUCUUCAGUACUUCUGGAACCUUGCCGAUUGCUCCCCCGACUAGGGUGUAAACACCUUGUCCUUCGCUUCUGUUUUUCUAACAGCUCUCAGAGUGUUCCGACCUACAGUAGAAAUACUGGAUGAAGGAAUGAAUCAAUGCUCUGCUCUGUAGUUCAAAACCUGCCUCAAGUAUAUUUGUUAUGGUGACAUCUUGGUGUCAGAGUGGAAGGUCAGAUAAAUGUUUUUAAAUUGUUAUUUGACAAGUUCAAAAACAGGGAAGGGGGGCUGGAGAGAUGGCUCAAAGGUUAAGAGCACCGACUGGUCUUCCAGAGGUCCUGAGUUCAAUUCCCAGCAACCACAUGGUGGCUCACAACCAUCUGUAAUAAGAUCUGGCGCCCUCCUCUGUAUACAUAAUAAAUAAAUAAAUCUUUAAAAAAAAAAAACAGGGAAGGGACAAAGGUCUGGGGAAGAAAUGGACUGCUUAUUGGCUAGCUACUUACGGCUUCUGAGUAGGCAUCUUUAGGAAAUGCUACGCCAUCUAAUCACUACUGGAAAACUCCAAGAGGUUGUUUGCUUUGUUUCUUCCUGUACCAGGGAAUAGAACUCAGAGCCUGUGUGCUAGACAAGUACUCUAGGAGAUAAGGGCUAUCCAACUGUUAUAUUUGUCACCCCAUUGAUCAUCAGGAUUAACGCGGCUGAUUUGCUGAGCUAAGCAGGUGUCCACUUCCUCUCUCACUGCUCGUGUGUACCUUUUGCAAGCUGUACUCGAUUGAAGAGGACAGUCUUUCCUAAUAGAAGAGGCCCACUCUUUGGUCAAGGGUAUAUGAGGAUCUGGAUUCCCCGGGAAGAACCUCUAAACAAGCUCCUAAGGUGUCAGAGAUGAAGGUUCCUAAGUGUGGUUUGAACAGAUCAAUUUUUUAGCGGAACUACCUUCUAUGAGCCAAAUAUGGCUUCCUCAGGCUGUCCAGAACUAACAACAGGCUUUCUUCUGUUUUGCUUUCUGCUUGGAAGAAAACCAAUGAUCUUUCACACCAUCUUUAAAUUCAAUGGUACUAAUGCAUAUAACCAAAUAAACUUGCAUCAUUAAAACAGAA